CAAAUGCUUGAUGCUUCUGGCUUCAUCCAUUCCAGUUUCGUUUCGUAUUUGUUUGGUAUUUGUCUUGUGUUGUUUCAGCUAUUUUUUCGUGAAUUUCUUGUUUAUUCCUCGUAGGACUCACCUCCGAAAUUAUCAGCCUCUGAAAUAUUUGAUACACCAACUGCUUAGCCGUGCUUCUACCACAUCAUAGCUUGGUGGCGCGUGAUAAUCGAGGAACUUGCCGCCCAAUUAACCUAACUCACGCCCCGAACUCAGAUUUUGUUACACAUCCUGACCAAACUUAAGAUGCUUAGCCCUACCUCUAGCUUAUUCAAGAACCAGUACCUUUCGUGGAACUUUCAUUUGAGGCUCCCGGAUUCGUAAAAACCAAUGAAUCUGACUGGCUAACCAAGUUUGAUCUGUGGCUUAAAAGUGAAGUUAAUCGUGCAAUGGAUGUGGACAGUUCGGCAGCCCACUUACCAGUCCAGACUACUCAGUAUACUCUCACACCUCAGUCAUCCGGUGCUCCAACUUCUGCAGAUGCCUGUUUAAGUAUUGUUCAUAGCUUAAUGUGUCAUCGGCAAGGCUCUGAGUCAGAGAGUUUUGCAAAAAGAGCCAUCGAAAGCUUGGUGAAGAAAUUAAAGGAAAAACGAGAUGAACUUGAUAGCCUCAUCACAGCAAUAACCACCAAUGGGUCCCAUCCUAGUAAAUGUGUUACCAUUCAAAGGACUCUCGACGGAAGGCUUCAGGUUGCUGGUAGGAAAGGGUUCCCACAUGUUAUCUACGCUCGAAUUUGGCGAUGGCCAGAUUUGCAUAAAAAUGAAUUGAAACAUUUGAAGUUCUGUCAAUUCGCUUUUGACCUGAAAUGUGAUUCAGUUUGUGUGAAUCCGUACCAUUAUGAAAGGGUUGUAUCUCCAGGAAUUGAUCUCUCUGGCCUCAGCCUUCAAUGUAGCACAUCUGGAAGGCUUGUUAAUGAUUCCUUUGGCACUGGACUAUCCAGUCCUUCCCUAAGUGCAGUCUCGCCAGGGAUGGAUAUUGACCCAGAAACAACAACAGUCAAACAUCACACCCCCACUCCUGGAACCUUUGCUUUACAGCAGCCUGCUCAAACUGCUCAAGUAAGAUCACAGCAAGUGAGCACUCCUCUCCAAACUGAAACCUCUGUUAGCAACAGUAGUACAACGCUUCCUCCUGCAACUUCUAACCAUGCAUCACCAACACAGUCACAGACCCAAACACAAUUCACUCCUGGCCCUCAAGCAACGUGGACUGGUUCCAAUACAUUAACGUACACUCAGUCCAUGCAACCAUCGUUUUGGGCUCAGUCUGACAUUGCUCUAGCUGCAGGAGGUCUCUUAUCUAGUCAACCUGCCCCUGAAUAUUGGUGUUCAGUGGCCUAUUUCGAGUUGGAUGCUCAGGUCGGUGAAACUUUUAAAGUACCUUCAUCGUGUCCCAAUGUCACCAUUGAUGGCUAUGUGGAUCCUUCUAGUGGAAACAGAUUUUGUCUAGGUGCCCUAAGCAAUGUACAUCGAACUGAGCAGAGUGACAAAGCUAGGCUACAUAUAGGAAAAGGUGUAGAAUUAGAGCUACGAGGAGAAGGUGACGUUUGGCUCAAGUGUCUCAGUGACCACUCUGUUUUUGUACAGUCUUACUACCUAGAUCGAGAAGCAGGCAGGGCUCCAGGCGAUGCAGUACACAAAAUAUAUCCCUCAGCACACAUCAAGGUGUUUGACCUUCGGCAGUGUUAUAGGCAAAUGCAACAACAAGCUGCAACCGCCCAGGCAGCUGCAGCAGCUCAAGCAGCAGCGGUUGCUGGCCACAUUCCUGGUCCGCAUAGUGUUGGCGGUAUAGCUCCUGCUAUCAGUUUAAGUGCCGCAGUUGGAAUAGGAGUAGAUGAUUUAAGACGUCUUUGCAUCUUGAGGUUAAGUUUUGUGAAGGGCUGGGGUCCUGACUAUCCACGCCAAAGCAUCAAAGAAACGCCAUGCUGGAUUGAGGUCCAUCUACACCGAGCCUUGCAACUGUUGGAUGAGGUCCUUCAUACCAUGCCUGUUGAUGGCGCACGCACUGUAGAGUGAAUCUUGUGCAGCUCUAGACGAAAAUCUUAUUUUGACAGAUGAAAUCCCACCUUCCCCCAGAUUGUGUCCUUUCUAAGCUUUCUCUAGAAUUAAGUUAUGCAGCCCCGAGAAUCCACGCCACAGAGAACUUUCAUGUUACAUAUUGCCAUUGCUACUGCUUACUGCCACUCAAACAGCUUGAAAAGCAAUAUUUAUGUAGUUUUACUCUAUUCUUAAGCUUGCAAUUCAUUAAACGUAACUCCAAACUUUGUUGUUGAUGUCUAAUUCAGAUAGUGAAGCUAAGGAUGCGCAAGACCUGUUCACUCAGACAUAUUCUCAAUAUACUGUUAUAGAUGCACAAACACAUACAAAAACAAACAUAUUGAAUCUUGCAUAUUAUCAUGCUGUAUCAAGAUAAUAGGCAAAUCAAGAAGGGGGAGAGAAAUUUAGAACUUAGUAAAGUUGUAGUAGUAUGAUUUUUAAUUUUAUGAAGGCAGGUUUUGCAGCUGGCUGUGAUCUUAAAAUAAGUUUGGCUUAAUGACAGAGAAGGUAGUCAUUUACUGGAUGAGUGAAUUACUGUAGUCUCUAAAUAUAUUGGAUAGACCCUGCCCAUGAGAGACGCACUAAGAAUGAGCAGGUUCAUUUUUGUUCUAUUUCCUGCACGCUUUCAUUGAAUGACAUAUUGAAUUUUUCUUUCAAGAUUGAGCUGUGAAGAAACUUUUUAUUGGUGUUUCAUUCUUAGAGAUUUUAGGCAAUAAGUUGUCACUGGGGAUAAUACCUGCUCCGAGAAUUUUUUAUUGUCUUCAAUGAGUUUAUUUAUUGUCAUGUUAGUCAUUUUUAAUUGAGUCAAGUAUGAUUCAAUUUAUUUAGCUUUCUUACUCAAUAUUCUAUUUUGCUUUAGUGCAUCUUCCUUUAAUGUUUCAAUUUGAUUACCUAACCCUAGAUUUUCUUUUGACAAUGAUUUAUUUAAUUUUUUCAUAUUAAUUAUUUCUUUAAUUAGAGAGUCGGGUUGGUGCCGGAGUCCUUGCAUCCGAUCAUUACUUUCACAAGUUUUCUUAUCAGGAGGUUCCGUUUGAGUGUCUAUGGAUACAGAUGCUGCUGGUUUUUCACAAGUACAGUUUUUGGACAAAUACUUAUUAGGGCUAUAAUUUACAGUUUUUGUUGGAGAAGCAUAUUUAUUACUUCGGCCUUUCAUCUGUAUAGAAGGGCAUUUCCGGUUUUGUGAAGUUGCAUGAGUGGGGCUUGAAUCUGGUAACACACUUUGUAGUGAAGACGUGGGUGAAGCAGUUGUUGUAUCGCUGUUAGAUGAAGGGGCAAGAGACUUGGAGGAUGAUAAAAACGCUGUAUUUCUCUUCCUGUGCAUUGCUGGCAAUAUUUUGAGAGGCUCGGCUGCUGGGUGUCGCUGUUGUAACCUUUGAUUUGAGCUUGGACAUAAUCCUCUCGCGUUUCGCGGCGCUUUUGCCUACUGCAUGGAUUGGCGAUGAAGAUAGUGAGGGCCUGGUGGAAUUAAAGACGUUCUUCUUGUCAGAUUUUGCGUCUGUCCUCUCUGGCUCCUUCUCUUUGUUCGAAUUACUCUUUUGUGCAUAUGCUUCUGUUUGUGGAGACACUGUCACGGUUUGAGUGCUCGCCGUCGAUAGUCCAGCGAUCGACUUAAUGAUAUUCCUAAUAGUGGUUGAUAUAAUUUUUGCUGUGAGUACGCGCAAAGUAUAUCGCGAUAUACCGUGAUACUUAUCAAUCUCCUUGGAUCAAUCGACUUUACCUUCUUCACUUUACUUUCUUAUCGAACCAUGCGUUUAGUUUCCUUUCAGUGUGCUUGUUGAAUUCCACAAAUUCUUGACAUUCUUUUGCGCAAGUACAAGUUAUGUGUAGGCAGAAAGUUUCAAAUGUCUAGGCACACACUAACACUGUUGCACUGAAGGGAAAUCAGGUGUUCACAUACUUAUUUCAUACCCGAAUUCUAGUGAAGCAUUUUUUAUUUGUAUUUUUUGCUUUUUGAAGUUGUCCUUUAUUAUGUAAAAAAAUUAAUACAAUACAAAUCAAAAUAACUGUGAUAAGUUAAUACAGGAAAAAAAGUUACAGAAUAAUAAAAGAACAAAUAUGAAGUUAAAUUGAGACAUAGAAAUUAAAGGAAGAAAGGGGGAAAGGACGCCGGAAUUGCAUUAGCAUACCAUCGGCGAAAAACCCGGAGAGAAAGAGGAAGAAGUAGUUAAUUAAACGUGAAAAAGAUAAUAGAAUAGGAUGAGAUAAGAAGCAUUGAGCGAGAAAAGGGCUUCACCAGAAGUGGAGCCCAACAAAACCAUCCAAGGGCAGAGGAAGAGGGAAUCAUAGUCAUUCGACGUUAAAGAUUUCCCAGGUCUGACCCCAAGAACGGGAGGAGGGGGGGGGCGCCAAAAACUGGGAGAAUUAGGGGGACCAUCCAAUUUCGCAAAGCUUCAAGAAGUGGAUAAGACCUGAAGAGCGAAUAGUUAAAAAAGGGAUAAUAUAAUUAUAUUAGAGCAAAGAAAGAAAAAGGAGGCUAGAAGCACUAAUGAUUAUUAUACUAACCCCUCAGAAAUUGUUUGCUGCAAAGAGCUCACAAUGGAGAGAAGGUGUGAAAUCUGUUCAGAUUACUACAAGGAAAGACAUUGGAAAUUUCUCUUUAGCAAUCAGGCGCCCCCUAGGCAAUGGCCAAAGGUACAUAUCUCUGGCUAGCUGAUCCUUCAAACACCGGAGCAACAGAUAUGCCAACACGGCGAACCAAAGAGCUCUCAAAACGGCUUUUAUCAAGGCCAUCCUUGGUAACGACUUCAUGUAAUAUAGAGGGACUAUCUCCAAAUAAAUCUCUUUUACUUAGUUCCUUAUGUAAAAAAAAAAAUGACUGUGAUAUACUACUCCUUCAGGAGACCCAUAGAGGACCUACAAAAUACAGACCUAAGAUAGAGGGCAUGAAACUAAUAAUAGAAAGGCAGCAUGAUCAGUAUGGGAGUGCAAUAUUUGUAAAAAAUAACAUUGAUAUCUGCUCAGCUGCUAUGACAUGUAACGACGAUAUAGAAAUACUGAAGGUAGAAUUUCAGUCUUGCGCGGUAACCUUUGUUUGUAAACCACCCGGUGCCAAUUUUAUAUUCCACAAACCGCACAACUUUGACAACAAAAGCACUAAAACCGUCAUGGGAGACCUCAACUGUCAUAAUUCAGCUUUGGGAUACGAUGAAACGGAUGAAGAUGGUGGAAAGCUAGAAAUAUGGGCCGACCACACUGAACUAAUACUACUACACGACCUUAAACUCCCCCUCUCAUUCAACAGUGGUAGGUGGAAGAGAGGAUACAACCCAGAUAAUAUCUUUGUGAGUGAAAGGAUAGCCAAACAAUGCACCAAAUCAGUUGAAUAUCCAAUCCCUCAGACACAACACCGCGCAUCAGCUGAUUAUCAGAGUCAGACUCUUGGCUAGAUGAGUCCUCAUUCAAUCUUCUCCUUUUGAUGGUUCUUUCUGAUAAUUUCCCAAAUUUUUCGGGGCGGUCAUAAUUGCGUCGAGACAUGACAAGACAAUAUUAAAAUAAAGUCAUCAACAUCAAAGAACAAGUACUCAACAAAAUUGAAGAAUUCGGUUAAUUCCUGGCAUGUGCAGUUUCCGCCAUCUUGGUUAGCGAACCGGCAUCACAUCACAUUCACCAACACUUCAGGAGAACUUCCAACUUACACAGUUACACCAUAAGAACGACAGUUCCACAGUUUCUAAAUUAGUUUAUUUCGCGUGGGUAAAUCAGAAACACUUGUAUAAAUGCUAAAUCAAACACGAUGAGAGCAAAUACCAGACACGAGGCUACCAACAAAGGCAGGCAGAGCGAGCGAAGCGAACAAAAUCCGUUGAAGGUGCGCAAGCGGCGAGCCACGCAGACGGACAAAUUCUAUUGGUCCAUUAUAGCGCGACGCGAGUGCGGUCUGGCAGCAGCAGCAGCAGUCUGGCGGUAUGUUGUCGCGAGACUGCGAGAGUCGUGAUUUUAUUGCAAUGAAGUUGCGAUUCUCCGCGCCCCUUGCAUCACGCGAAUAGGCAACAUCCACGCCAUUCGAUAAGUUGCGAUUUUCUUACUACAUUAGUACAACAUAUUGCAACUCAUGCUAAUUGGGAAUAACGUGGUGUAUAACAGCUGUUAUCAAACCUGACACCGUUCCGCUUAAAAGACGAUUCAACUUCAAACGUGCUCAGUGGGGUCCCUUCACAUAAGAUUUCGACAGCAAAAUUACUCAAAUCAAGCCUGAGCCACAAGCGUAUGAAGACUUAGUAGACCUAGUAAAAGAAGUAUCUAGACGACUCAUACCUAGAGGCUCCCGCACACAAUUUAUUGCCGGACUGACAGAUAAGUCUAAGGACACCCUGAAGAGAUAUGAAGAGUUGUAUAGCGAUGGUGUGUUCGCCUGUCGUACGCAGAACGUGUGGCUCGGCUCCCCAGUUUGUUCCCGUUAGCUUCCUCAAUUUGUUAUUUCUGGCACAUUCUUUUUUCUUGGUAUCGUGACAGUGAUAUUUAAAUGUGAGGGUUCUGUCCAGUUUUACUCAAAGGUAUUUUGGGGUGCUACAGUGUUCAAGUUCUUGGCCUUGCCAGCUGACCUUCAGUUUCCUUUUGGCUUGUCUGUUUCUAAGGUGAAAUGUACACACUUGAGAUUUACUCGGGUUAGGGGUAAGGUUGUUAUCCUCUAGUAGAUUGCAAGUUCACUCAAGGCUUUCGUGAGUUUCUCUUCCACCUCCUCAAAGGUCUUACCUUGUGCAGCGACCGCUAUAUCGUCGGCGUAGAUAAAUCUUCUGGUGUGAGGAUUAGCUGGCUGGUCAUUCGUGUAAAUGUUGAACAGUAUUGGGACCAGAACGCUUCCUUGGGCGAGUCCAUUUUUCUGUCUCCUCCACCGACUGUUUUUGCUCCCCAUCGUGACGAAAAAGCGCCUAUUUUGUAGCAUACAUGCGAUGAACCUAGUUAGUGUGUGGUCUCUUGUUAUUUGGUACACUUUCUGGGAGAGCAACUUGUGAUUUACUCUGUCAUAGGCAGCAGUGAGGUCCAAAAAAGCUACUAAAGUCACUUGCCCUCUUUCAAAACCGUCCUCUAUGUAUUGCGUUAAAUUUAGAAUCUGGCCGCAGCAUGAUUUGCUUGGUCGAAAGCCCGCUUGUUCCUUAAUGAAGGCGUUGUCCACGUGGCACUGGAUUCGCUUCAGGACUAGCCUUUCUAGCACUUUGAACAGGUGACAAAGUAGUGAGACAGGUCGAUAGUUAUUGGGUUCAGUGGGCUCUUUGCCUGGCUUUAGUAAGGCUACGACUCGUGCUUUCCUCCAGCUUUUAGGUAUAUGCAUGCCAGUAACACAGUUUCUCAUAAAUUCAAGAACCCAAGUUAGCGUUUUUGGUCCAAAGUGUUUUAUCUGUUUAGCUCGAAUAUCGUCUACUCCUGCUGCUUUGUUGUCCUUCAUUUCCAUAACAGCGUCUUUCAAUUCUUGCAUCUUGAAAGGGUGGGCCAAAAAAUUGUUUUCUCUGUUUCUCUCUCUGAUAAUUCUUUUUUUUAACGAGGUACGGGUAACGAGGUAAUCUUUUAACGAUUUUUAAUAGUGAAUAUAGCGGGAGGAGCCUCGAGUUCGAUACUUGCCACUGUUGACACUUCGGAUUCUCCCUGAGGCUUAGUAACGCUUACGCAAUCAUUUGAUACCUCACAAUUAUAAAUUCUACUUUUAAAAUCCUGUCUGGACAUAAGUACGUUAGUAUCAGGGAAUACGAAAUGAGAUCCGUCCCCGACAAUAACAAUAAGAUAAAAUCUAGAACAGGCAGUUCGUAAUGUUACAUCAUUAGUGUAUAAAAUCUUGGAGGGCAUUGCUCCCGCGAAUCGGGUAUUCAUUUUACCAGCCGUAGAGGCGAGUCUACAUGGAAAAAAUUACCCCGCUAUAAAAUUUUUAUUCGUAUAUCACACCGCGAAAAAUACGAGAAAUCGGGAGUAAUUUGACGACACAUCUGCACCAAAUACGUACAACUAGGUACAGAGUCCUGUUUCAGAAUGAGUGAUUCCAAUUUUCUUUAAAAAGAGAACCAAUCAGCAUCAUAUUUUAAAGUUUUCACAAGAUUUUCCUCCCACAGAAAAGGAUAAUCACAGAAGUUUUUAAAAUUGCCCUUGAGGAGAUGUAAUCAUUUGUAGAAAACAAUGAUAGUCCCUUUUAAUAAAAUGGAAACCCCUACCUUAUUGAAUAAGUAUGCCUCCGGGGAGUGAUGUCACUCUUGAAAAUUCUGGAACAUUUCGAUGAGAGAUACUGAAUUGCUUCAUGAAUACCUCAUUAUUUUGAUUGCGUCGUAGUACCUCAGAAAGGAGUGAGACGAAUCGACGGAAUAGAUUUUAAGGGUGUGUAAAAGGUUGUGCUGGAUACCGAUGUACAGUGAGAGGAGAAUGGAUGUGUCUUCAUUCGAACACUGUCUUCGUCAAGUAGGUUUAAGCGUAUUUUAUUUCCGUCCACGGGCAAUUGUCCGAAAAUAGUACCGCCAACAAGCCUGCCGGUGGCAAGUCGUCAAGUUUCAGUAUUCAACUCAACUAGGAUCGGAUUCGGGUAGCUUCCUUACCAGAAAUUAAGCUCACUCGCACUCUUCAUUCGUCACUGGCUGAGCUGCUUUGUUUCACAUAAACGACAAGAGCGGAAUGAUUGUUCUGCAACUAUGGAUUUGAUAACCACUGUGAUUGCAAAUCGUCAUGUAACUCCCAAACACCAGAUUCCUCCGUAUGUGUGUAUUAAAAUGCCCUCGGGCACAGUUUCCAAGUCCGAUAAAGGCGUGCUCUUGUCUUCUUCGCCGAAUACAAGAUGGUGUUUCGGCAAUUAUUUCGGGUUCAUCAUUUCUUUUUUUCUUCUCUGGAUGCGACGUCAUUCUCUCAGUAGAAGGCUUGUAUAAUGCAAGCUCUAUCCGGAUAGCGGGCAAGGCCUUCCAACUGCAACGGCUCGUUUGGACAUAGCCCACUUCCAAUAGUGUUGGCCGCAAAGCACUGGCCCAGCCAAUCCCAGAACAUGCACCCCACCUGCUGACCUUCAGGUGGGAUGUCGCUUUGAGUUGCUCCUUGACACUGUUGGCGAAAGUCUGGCCGGGAUUGCCCGCGAUGUAGUCAAUUACGUUAGUCCCCCACAAUGACUAACUACCAAUGAUGGUGGUAGCGAACGUCCGUUGUAGGGCAUCAUGCAGAGCUUGGACCAUGGCCUGCGUGUUUGGUUGGUUGGCGGCCCAAUUGCUGACCUCAUUACGCAGCACUUGCUCCAUAGGUUGGACAGCUCGUGCCCAUGUCACGAAUAUAUUGGCUUGCAUGGGCUUUGGGAUCCUGGGUAUGUGAUAAGAGAAAGUUGCCAACAGGCGGAAGCGGCGGUCAUUUUGGAGCCUAGGGCGCAUAUCGACCGAGUUCAGCGCCGAGUACAGUCCCUUGCGAAAGUGAGAGGACUCACUGCGGAUGGUGGGCAGUCGGUACAGGAAGCCGGAGAUCUGAGAGAAGGUGGAAGCUCCAGGCAUAGGGUUGGGCUGGCCAUGACGAGCUACGAUGUGGAAUUAUAUUUCAUGCCUCUUGACGUAGCAACAAUCUGGCUUUCUUUGCCCGGCGGGUACUAACAUGGGCACCGGCAUGUGCCAGUCACAUAAGAAGAGAUAAGUCGUUCUCAGAAUAGUCGCGGUCUUAUUGGAGGAUCAUGCGACCCUGUGUGAUAGCGUUGGAGGUAGAAAUGGACACCACACUCAUAUCUGUUAAAUUGGUCCAAGUGACUGGGGCUGCUCCUUCAGGGUAAGUUUCGGAGGCGGGUGCAAGGCCGGAGAAGUUGAUCACAUCAUAGCCCAAUAGGCUAACUUGGUAUUGAGUCCGGCCACAUCAUAGUAAAACAUGUUAGUGUCGACUGAAUUGACCAGCGCACCCAUCUGGCACUAUCCAUAAAACUGGUCAUUUGAUAAGUUGGAUUCUUCUGGCAUACCGUAUCAACGGUUACAGAGGUGGUCAGAAUAUCUGUCUUGUUAUAUCUGAAACAUACAACAAACUAUCGUCGAGAAAACAAAAGUAGCUCUCUUUUUUGAAAAAUGAAGGGGUAGGGGGAAACUUUGUUACACUCUCAUAGUCGCUUUUACAAUUUUCUCAUGUUAGGAGAGAACCACAUCAUACUAGCAAGUUCCAAGUACAAAAGACCCCCCCAUGAUUAUUCUUCAUGCAAAGGAUUGCAAUGUCCAUUAAAUGAUCAUGAGUUAUAAUGAUAAUAGGUAUAGAUUCCAUGACGUGAAAGUAUCCUAUUUGUAAAUAAUUUUUACGUCCCUGAAAUUCCAUUUAAUUUAUAAUGAUAAUAAUAAGAGUUAAGUUUUCCAAUCCCUUGUACAAGUCGAUGUUGAGGGUUGAUUGACAAACGUACGUGAUUGACUAGACGACGUUCUACUAUAAGAACACGAUUGGAGGAUGGUUUGACACUAAUAAAUCGAGAAACGGCAUAUUAAUAAAAAUAGGCCACGCGACGCGUCGCGAGGAUGCGAGUUAAAAUUUGUAGGUGAAAGACUUGAAAAAAACAUAUAGAUUUGGUAUGAAAAACGAAAUAAGGCUAAAAACAAACUAGAACAUUACGAAAAAUUUAACGACCCCGCACCUGACACCGUGUUGAGGGUGGAUCGAGGAGAGAAAAGACGAAACCGAGAUAGACUGCUAGGACGCCAUCAGGAACUGUAUUGGGGGUUGCCGCUACCACACACCCGGGCGGCUAGGCUGACAGGGUUGCCGUGUCGGCACUAUAUCUAACAGUCGACUUUUCUUGUUGGGGGAAAAGCCGCCGCAUUAGACCGCAGUCCUGAGAGAAUGCAGAUAAGGGAGAAAAACGACCUAGGAUUGAAAAUUUUCACACUACUUAUACGACUGAUUGGAAAAAGAGGCGGAGCAAUCGCUUUCAUUUUCGCUUCCAAUUCCUCCAGGGAGCGCAUCAUUGGCGGUAGAUCCUCGUCCGAGUAUUCUAUAAAAUUUCUCAUCAGCUCCGCGAAAGAGUGGGCUUCCAGUAAUUUCAUUGAUUCCUCCAGCUUCUCUUGUUUUUCCAUCUCCAGUUUUUGUUCUUUUUUCUUCUUUUUGCCGAUGAGCCACAAAGCCACACUAAUGAACUACAUGAACGCAAGAGAAGCUAAAACGAUAAUUCAGCUCCGAAGGGCUGAUUCGAAAGAAAGGAGAAACGUACAUCCCGGAAAAGAGACAAGCUUUGAUAGCUUUAACAUAGAAUCAUAUAUUUAUAAUUAGUCAUCCAUUACCUGUAGAUGCCGCGCAAGGAUUUUAUAAAGUAGCAUCUGCAAGUUGAGUUUUCGUAAUUACAGUCGUGGAUGACGUGGAUGUUCGUGAAGGGGAACAAAGCAGGUUGCGGUUCGGAGGCCAGCCAGGCUUCCGAUAACCUGUCCUUCAGGAUCUCUGAUAGGGUUAAGUCUAUAAACGUCGUGUAGAGCUAUCGCCUUUGAAGACGGGUGUCAAAUUCUUCCAUCCACAGUUAAAUAAGUUUCUCUUUUCCCGUUUCAAGUUCAGUCCCGCAACUAGCCUAGCUAGUUAUUAUUCUACGGCUUCAAGAACGCUAUUAGCCGUUGGCCUGACUUGUGUUCCUGGGCUUCUCGGAUAGCCGCCGAGGCGUUUUGACUGGAGCGGUAGGUGUCAUCUGUUCAUAGCAUGCGAGGGACAGUCGGCAAAUACGCGGGCAGAGACAAAGUAGGUACAAUGUGAUCAAAGUGACGCCAUUCGUUUACGGAAGAAGUGCAGAAGUUGCGGUCAAAGCCGCGUAAUUUUGCCAAAAUUGUAAUUCCGGUUUGUUUCGUUAAGUGAAAGUAUCCUUUUUGCAAAGGAUUGCAAUGUCCAUUAAAUGAUCAUGAGUUAUAAUGAUUAUAAUAAGUAUGUUCCAUAACAGACAUUAGUUCUACCAAGUUCCAAAAGCAAAACGCUGAAACUUAUGUUCAGUAGUCUUGAUGAACUACUGUUUGAGACUUUAUAGCCUCAGGUUAACGUCCAAGUCAUGAAGUCUGCUUUUGUAAGUUGCAACAGAACUACGAGGGUCGUUCAACAAAGUCUCUUCAAUCUCCUUUCUUGCGGGACGGUAGGAGGGCACUUGAAUUUGCAAAUUCAGUAUACCUUGUAUCCUCUCACCGUUUGGUCUGACUCCAGAUUCACUAAGUAUGGUGCUCAUGUAAAAAACAGAUGGUUAUUUGUAUUGUAACUUUUUAAUGUUAAACUUAAUAUUUAAAACAUCUGCUCCUCUCAAAAUUCCCGUAUUAUCUUCAUCGUGUUCCUUCUCACUCACGCUUGCACAUAAAAUAUCAUCAAAAUAUUCAGACACAGUACGCAAAUGACCAAAGGAUUUAGUGUUGUUAGUUUGGAAGACCUCUAGGGCACAGUUUAUACCGGGUGCCAUCCUUAAGAAUUUUUAUGACCCGAAGGAUGUAUGAAAACUAGAUAGUUGGUUGAUUCUUUACUUAGUUUGAUGUGGUAAAAUCCAUCUUUGAUGUCGAAGACUGUGAAGUGUGUUUUCCCACUAAGACUUUGUUUGAUCUCUUCAAACGUUGGGAUCAGACAGAAGUCUCUCUUAAUACUUUUGUUGAGGUCUUUUGGAUCUAAACAAAUACGUAUACUCUGCGUUGCAGGUUUUUCUACAAUCACGAGGUCAUUCCACCAUAUUACAUCUUCAGUGUCAGUGCUUAAUAUAUUUAAAGCUACCAACUCAUCAACUUUUUGCUUUAGUGGACUGAUAAUCUUCGCUGGAAUUCUUCUGGGGGGUCCAGGGGUUUGUUUGCUGUUCGGAUCUAUUUUUAAUGUAUACUCAUCUGGAUAUGAGCCUAGGCCUUGAAACACAGACAAGAAUGGCGACAGAAUUUUAUCACUCGCGUACAUUUUAUACCUGGACUCCAUAUCUUCAGAGACAUAUUCUACAAAACUGAUCACUUCUAAUGUUUGACAUGCUGCAAUACCUAGCAGGGGACAAGAUUUAUAAGGUACAAGAGUGAAAUUCAGUUUGUGAAUUCUAGAUUUACUUUUGCAUUCCAGUUCAACAACACCACUGGAUUCGAUUACCGACCCUCCGUAUGCAACAAUACUACUGUCAGGCUCUCUUACAAGGUUAUCCCCGUUAGCUAUUUGUUCAAAGACAUGCACAGGCAAAACGUUUACUUCAGCGCCAGUAUCGAGUUUUAGUUGUAUUGGUACAUUGUUAAUCUCUACAGUUAUAUUCCAAAAUUUGUUAUUAGGUUUCACAAAAUCAAGACACCUAGACGAUUUCCCAUUUUCUGACGAGUCGUUGUAGUGACACCAAUUAUUGCAGGUACAUAUGUUAUGACAGUUGCAAUUAUUACAUGUAGACAUGUCUCUACCGCUGCGCAGAUUGUUAGACGAAGUUAAAGUAGUACAGCUGUGAGAUUGAUUGGAAAUUGUUAAGUUGUCGAUAGUUAGGAAGCUUUGAUAGUUACAAGCGCACAGGCUAUCACAUUGAUGGGGUGCCUUUUCAGCAGUUGAGAGUUGAUUUUUAGAACGCCUACAAACACUGGCAAAAUUAUUAUAAAUAUUACAAUUUACACAUUGCUUACCGAAUGCUGGACAAUGACGAUACUCAUGUUGUGUACCACAUUUGCUGCACUUACGCCCUGAACUGUGCGACUGGUGUGAAUUUGUGUUCCUGUUUUGGAAGUUUGAAGAUUGCUUUUGUUGCGUACCUGCGUGUGUUAAUUUGUGACGCGUCUGGUUGCUGGAUGAUGAAUAGUUGUUGACUGUUGAAUGGUUGUUGGAUGAUGAUUGGUUCUUUUGAUGAUGUGUAUGUGUACUUAGAUGCCCAUAGCGUACUGCAUCAACAGGAAUAACUUCUGUUUUGACGAAGUCCUUGCCUCGGACUUUGCCCGCUUCUACCGCUUGACAUAGUUUGACGACCUUGGCUAGCUCAUAAUCUUCGCCAAGAAGUCUCUCUCUGAGCUGUUGAUUAUCGAUGCCUCCAAUAAUUCUAUCCCGGAUGAGGGAUUCUCGCAAGUCUCCAAAUUGACAGUUCUCUGCUAACUUUUUUAUCGCUACGUAGAACGUGUCAAAUGGCUCACCUUCUUUUUGUUCCCGCUUGAAGAAGAUGAAUCUGUUGUGCACCAGAUUUGUUUUUGGCCUAGUGUAGUCAUCAAGAUGCUGUAUGAUAAUGGCCGGAUCUUGCAGGUCCCCAUGUUCUGCCUCAACGCUGUAGACGAGCUCUCGGGCUUCAGUGCCUAAGAGCCGGAGGAGAGUAGCUGCCUGAACUGCUUUAGUCUUGGAACUUAAUUCUUUCUCGAUUACAUAGAGGCCAUAUUCAUCCUUAAAUAACCUCCAGUUCUCAACAAGGUUCCCGGUUAGGCUGAAGGGUCUUGGCUGUGUGAUGGCUGAUAAGAGCUCCGUUUGAAGUUUGCACAACACGACCUGCUAAUUCAAUUGAUUCUUACUUAAACGAGUACAGGCGACGCUACUUGAGUGCCACCAAAAGUAAGGAAUCACAGUAUCUCGAUUAGCGGAUUUCAUUUUAAACAAAUAAGUUCAAAAACACGUCAUGGUUUUAAGCCACACUACCGAAACCGAUACGCGAUGUUUGCACACUUAUAAUUUUAGUAUGAUAUAAUACAUCAUCGAAAACCGCGACUGCGCCAUGUUGCAGAGGGCAACGAGUGAGGGAGCGAGCGAGAAAUGAGACGGAAAAUAAAAUAUAUUUUAUUUGAGGAAACAGAUAACGGUGUGCCCGUGGCACAUGCACAUAGAAUCACAUAACAAUGGCGGCCAACUACAGUUAUGGACAUGCGAGAUUGCCACAUCUCAACUAUAACACACCUUCUGUUUUUUCUUUUUCAAAAUUUCAACCCUCACUUUCAUCCUUUCUUUGAGGAUGUGAAUUUACAAGUGGAAUGAGCCCCUUUUGCUAAUUUUGUGGUUUUUUAUUUGUUUGUGUAACUAUCAGUUAGUUUGGUAUAGUGCCUUGGGUUUCUAAACUACAGAGACUUCGUCAAUCAUAGUUCUCUGGGUUGUUUCUUUCUGUUUCCUUGCCUCUGAGUUUCUCGUCUUUCUGAGUCUUGGAGCCAAACUCUCAUUUGACCAUUUUGUAAUCUCUUUUGGUUUCUGGACUUAACUACAUAUUUUUGUUUCUAGCUAAGAGAUCAUUCAAUAGGAUCCUUUAAUGGUCACUUUUUUCAUCAUCAAGCAUCAAAAAAUGAAAGAAAUAAUUUCAUCAAUAUUCAUUGCUAUUUACUUGCAUCUCUAUCCUCUCUGGUCAGAACUUUUAAAACUUACUUUUCCAGCAAUUAGUUGAUUUUAUUCUAUGGAUCAUAAUUUUGUAAUGUGGUUCACUUUUCUGCACAGUGUAAAUUGACAUGAACAGCUGUGGAAACUCACCAGUAACGCUGCCAGAUUACAUUCAUUUUCUAAACUGAGUAAUUAUUGUGCGAUAUUGCUAAAUGGUUUUUUUCACAAGUUUUUUUAGUUCUUUUUACCUUUAAAUAUGUAUUUGCAUUGGGCAACUUUUCAUCAAAAUCCACCAUUUCUGUAUAGAGCGUUUGCAUGCUUCUAAAAUUAAACCUAUUUCCUUUUAAAGAAAACGAAGGCCUGAGCAGGAAAAGAUCGUGAGACAUCUUCCGUCACUUAAAGAUUAUGGACACAACACUAUUCACACUGAAAAUUUUCAAAAUCAACUCCCAGAUUAAACAAAUAGUCACCUUUAUUGUUUACAUUAAAAUUAAAAAAUUCCAAUAUUCAACUCGGUGAGAAAAUCAAAAGCUUAAAUCGAGCAUUGAAAACGAAGGUGUGUUUCCUCUGACGAACAAUUUAGUAUUCGAUUUCAUUAACAAUCCUUUCAUUUCCUCUAAAGUUUCUUACUUGUAAACUUUUCAAAAAUAAUUUACUUAGAUGAGAGAUAAAAUUAUUUCACCGCAAAUCACACGAAAAUUGGCUAAAUUGCUCAAGUAGAUUCAGCAAAGUUAGGCUUUUGGCAAAAUAAUCGUUUGAAUGAACACACUAAAAUCGUGAAUUCUUUCAAGUUCAAGUUAAAAAUUUUCAACGUGCUUUAUUGUGUUUCAUGUAAAAUUUUGAUGAGAUUGAUUGUUUUGGGAUACUUGGUCUCUAACCUGAUGUAGUAGUCCAUUGAAACUGUGUAGGGAAGCAAUAAAAUAUCUUAAUUUGUUUAUUUUAUUUUUAUUUUAUUUUUAUUUUACUGUCAUUAUUCCCUCCCUCUUUUUACAUUUAAGCUCAUGAAGUGUUCCUCUGUUUUAUUUUCUUACUUUUGUAUUUUUACUUUAAGGAAAUUGUAUAAAAAUCUCCCAUAGCUGUUAACAUUGAAGAAAAUAUUAAUUUAAAAAAAAACUGCCAUUAAAAGAAGUCGGAAAGUAACAGCAACAUCCAAGUGCACAGAACAUUUCAUUGCUUUCUCCCAACUAGAGAUCAAGAAGAAUCGUACCUUGAUUUAUGAAAAAAUAACCAGCAUAUUGUCAUCC